rnacentral:rRNA from 1 species
GACGACCUAGGGGGGCAGCAGUGGGGAAUAUUGGACAAUGGGGGGAACCCUGAUCCAGCGACGCCGCGUGAGUGAAGAAGUAUUUCGGUAUGUAAAGCUCUAUCAGCAGGGAAGAAAGAAAUGACGGUACCUGACUAAGAAGCCCCGGCUAACUACGUGCCAGCAGCCGCGGUAGUACGUAGGGGGCAAGCGUUAUCCGGAUUUACUGGGUGUAAAGGGAGCGUAGACGGCGAUGCAAGUCUGAAGUGAAAGGCGGGGGCCCAACCCCCGGACUGCUUUGGAAACUGUAUGGCUGGAGUGCAGGG